rnacentral:rRNA from 1 species
UACGUAGGGUCCGAGCGUUGUCCGGAUUUAUUGGGCGUAAAGAGCUCGUAGGCGGUUUCGUAAGUCGGAUGUGAAAUCUCAGGGCUCAACCCGGAAACCGCACCCGAUACUGCGAUGACUUGAGUCUGGUAGGGGAACACGGAAUUCCUGGUGUAGCGGUGAAAUGCGCAGAUAUCAGGAGGAACACCGAUGGCGAAGGCGGGGUCUCUGGGCCGAUACUGACGCUGAGGAGCGAAAGCGUGGGGAGCAAACAGG